AACGAACGCUGGCGGCAGGCUUAACACAUGCAAGUCGAGCGCCCCGCAAGGGGCGCGGCAGACGGGUGAGUAACGCGUGGGAACGUACCUUUUGGUUCGGAACAACUCCGGGAAACUGGAGCUAAUACCGGAUAAGCCCUAACGGGGAAAGAUUUAUCGCCGAAGGAUCGGCCCGCGUCUGAUUAGCUAGUUGGUGAGGUAACGGCUCACCAAGGCGACGAUCAGUAGCUGGUCUGAGAGGAUGAUCAGCCACACUGGGACUGAGACACGGCCCAGACUCCUACGGGAGGCAGCAGUGGGGAAUAUUGGACAAUGGGCGCAAGCAUGAUCCAGCCAUGCCGGGUGAGUGAUGAAGGCCUUAGGGUUGUAAAGCUCUUUUGUCCGGGAAGAUAAUGACUGUACCGGAAGAAUAAGCCCCGGCUAACUUCGUG
rnacentral:rRNA from 1 species